GCUCCGCUCAGAAGAGUAGGGUACUGGCACAGUGCUCUGCUGAAAUAUUUUCACCCAUGUCUUUUGCGCACUUUUUGUUUCCUGGGCGAGUUUGCUCGCCACCAGGACCCCCAUAUGAACCUUUUUUGUUUUUGCACUCAGCGUCAGUACAAUAAUUUAAUCUAUUAAAACUUUCAACAACGGAUCUCUUGGUUCUGGCAUCGAUGAAGAACGCAGCGAAAUGCGAUACGUAGUGUGAAUUGCAGAAUUCAGUGAAUCAUCGAAUCUUUGAACGCACAUUGCGCCCUUUGGUAUUCCAAAGGGCAUGCCUGUUCGAGCGUCAUUUGUACCCUCAAGCUUUGCUUGGUGUUGGGCGUCUUAUUGUCUCUCCGUCUCGGGGAGACUCGCCUUAAAACAAUUGGCAGCCGGCCUACUGGUUUCGGAGCGCAGCACAAAUUUGCGCUUGCAAUCAGCCAAGGGCGGCAUCCAUGAAGCCUUUUUUCUCUCACAUUUUGACCUCGGAUCAGGUAGGGAUACCCGCUGAACUUAAGCAUAUCAAAGGCCCGGAGGAAUCAU
rnacentral:rRNA from 1 species